GCCUUUUUCUCCAUCAUCCAUCCACCUCUCCAUGUCAGCUAAAGAGCUGUUUACGAGGAACCACCUGAAAUCAAGGGCAGCAAGCCAUUAAUUGAGUUAAGGACGUUGGGCUGUGCCAGGACACCCAAAGCAGUCGUGCUAGGCCUCUCUUGUAGUACUCCGAUGCGUUUUUUCCCCUUAGUUUGAUAAAGGCACUGCUGGAGCAUGAGGAAUACUGAUGAGCACACGUCCAGUAAGACAGGCAAGAUAUUGAAGGAACUUGAGCUGCGAGGCUGGUGCAGACGGAGCCAGCUGGCUCUUAGGCCUCCCUUUAAAAGUCAGCUUUCAAUGGCCGUUAGAGCAAAUUGAGAAGAUGUGUGUAAUGGCUUGGCAGGGCUCGAUGCAGAAAGAAGGCUGGAUAGUGUGUGAACAAUGGGAGGUUCAUUGCCUCGCAGUGUGCAAAGCCCACACCUGCCAGAAACGCAUUUAAAGGGAAAUUGUAGCACGGGUCCCAUUUCAGCUUAUUAAGCCACUGCGGUGUUUGUUCUGAUGUGCCACUACCGCUGUGCUGAGCGGCUGUUUUCAUCUCAGUAGGAUAAAUCCUAAAUAAGUAAUUUCCUUGUGAGAAGAGAGACUGCACUUACGCUGCGAGGAGGCUGCACGGAGUUGCUCAAGUCCUGCCCAAACCUCCCUGCUGGGGAGAGCAGCGCUUGGCACUCAGGGCACAGACCUGGAAAAUAAAAACCAGGAACAAAAUUUAGAGCUUGGGAAAACUGGGUAUUAAUAACGGUCAGCCUUAUGUAUGCUGAUUUCUGUAAAAAGAGGUGCAAUUUUAUGGCCAGAGGCAAGCUAGCAGAAGGCAAGGCAGAGCCGUGCCAGAGGCAUCGCCAGCAAGAGCAUCCUGUGUGUUUUUAUGGUUCUCUGAUUAUCAGGGAGCAGCAAACGAUAACACCAAUGGUAACAACAGGUUAUACACAGCUCCUAUGGGGAGCUUUACAGCUGCAUUUUGGGAAGGACAAAAGAGAUUUUCCACAUGCUCACCUGCUAAGAGGGUGUUAACACUCUGUUCUCCCAGGUCCAACCCCAGCCUCUGCUGUACCCAAAUUGCUUACCUGGGAAGGAAUCAGGGACAGGUGAUUUAUUUGGGUAUUGACAUUCAGACAGCGAGCGGGUGUUCUUAAUUUGAUAU